ACUGAUCCUGAGGACGGCGUCCACUACGCCUCCAUCACUCAGACCAAAAAGACCAAAAAGACCAAAAAGACUAAAGAGACAAAGGAAAAACCAAGAAUCCCCGACUCUGUGACAUACAGCACUCUGAAUACUUCUGCUGCUCAGGUUACCAUCGAUCUUGACAGUCUCUACUCUACACUCAGUAAAUAAGUGGGAUUAGAUCAUGUUUAAUAAACCAGGUGGAUUAUUUCCAACAACUUUAAUCUAGAUAAAACUGAAAAUGACUGAAUGUUUUCAAGAUCAGUGAUCAUUGGGGCCCUCUAGUGGAGAGAAGCAGGAAACGUAAACUCUGUAAAAUUAUUUUUUCUUGUAAAAUACCAGUAAUACUGAACGCUUGUGCACAAUGACUGCUAAAGGUUAUUUUUUUAAAAUAUAUCUCCAAUGUCCAUGUUCUUCUGUGCUUUAUAGUACAUAAUGUUUGACCGUUAUGGUAUAAAUAUCUUUGAACUUUUGUGGUUUCACACUGAGUGGGAAGCAAUUGCUAAAUUUUUCCAUAAUGUCAGACAUGUUGAAGUUUAAAUU